rnacentral:lncRNA from 1 species
CCAAAACCAUCAGGAGAGAGAGAGAAAUAAGAACAAACCCUAGAGUGAGAAAAUUCAAAGAAAAAGUGUGAUUUUUCAAGGAAUCAAGUGUUUAAAGGUAUGAUUUUUCAAGCUUAGCUUAAGAUUUAUCAUUUUCAUGCAUUUCCCAUCAUUUUUCAUGGUUGAAUCAUGUGAUUUGAGGAUGAAUUCAAUUCUGGAAAAAUGGGUUAG